rnacentral:lncRNA from 1 species
AUAUCUAUCUAUAUGUAUCUUGAUCUGAUGAUGAUGACUCGACUAAUGAACUAGUAAAAAUUAUUUCUACUAUUCAUCCCUGCUCUGGCUAGAGUCUUAGAGUCAUCAUCCUAUGAGAUCACAUAGGAUGUUCUCUCCUCCUACAAGGAGUAACUGAUUUCUUAUUUACCACUCAUAACCUUCAUGCACACUUCACUAUAUCUAGAAUAUCCCACACAUAUUUUAAAGUGGUGUGUUAAGGAAUAAACCAAAGUAAGGGUCCAUGUACACAAGGUACCAUGGUGAUCUCAGGUUAAAGGAUCAUAUACACCACUCCCAC